GCUUACAACAAGCUGGUGAUUAAGAACAGAGCAUCGUAGCCCCAGGAAGAGCCUUCUAGUACCCACUUGCUGGGAUGGACCACCUUUUUUAGUUCUACGCCAGUUCCUGCUGAGGUGCAGUUGCUGCUGCCACAGCAGUUUGUUUCAUUCUCUCCGAGGGGUGCCAGGGACUCAGCCCCCAAGCGUUGACCACUUAAUAGGAAGAUCCACAAAUAAAACCAGAAGGUGUGCAACCCAGAAGACAGGCAAACCGUAACACAGGCACUUAAGAGCCAUGAAAAUGCAAAGCACAAGAUUUACCUAUUAAUCCAGAUUCAUAUAAAUAUUACAGAGAAAUGGAAGAUCCUCCGAAAAGGAAAAACGCAGGCUAGAGAGAUGGAUAGGCCGUAUCGAGUACUGGAUGAUCUUCCAAUGGAUUGAGGUUCAGUUCCCAGCACCCACAUGAUAGCUAACGACCAUCUGUAACUCCGGUUCCAACGAAUCUGAUGCUCUCUUCUGGACCCCAAAGUUGCCGGUCACACACCUGGCACACGGCCGUACGCACAGACGAUAUACCCAUACAUAGAAAAUAACUUUUAAGGAGGAAAGUAGAAGUACCUUAUGAUCCAGCACUCACACUAUUGGGUAAUAGAGCCAUAGAAAGUAAAAAUCAAUGUCUUGAUGAGACAUCUGCACUUUUCCGUGUUUACGGCGCCACCCGGGAAAUUAGAGGUGAAGGAACAUAAAUAGCCUUCAACUGAUGAAAAGAUAAAGAAAUGGUACAUCCAAAUAUGUAGUACUAUUAAACCGUAAAAGUGAAA